rnacentral:rRNA from 1 species
CCUACGUGUGGCAGCAGUGGGGAAUAUUGGGCAAUGGGCGCAAGCCUGACCCAGCAACGCCGCGUGAAGGAAGAAGGCUCUCGGGUUGUAAACUUCUUUUAUCAGGGACGAAGCAAGUGACGGUACCUGCUGAAUAAGCAACGGCUAACUACGUGCCAGCAGACGCGGUCAUCCGGAGGUGGCCAGCGUUAUCCGGAUUUACUGGGUGUAAGGGGUGUGUAGGCGGGAAAGCAAGUCAGUUGUGAAAACCAUGGGCUCAACCUGUGGACUGCAUGUGAAACUGGUUUUCUUGAGUACUGGAGAGGUAGACGGAAUGCGUAGUGUAGCGGUGAAAUGCGUAGAUAUUAGGAGGAACACCAGUGGCGAAGGC